rnacentral:rRNA from 1 species
UACAGAGGUCCCAAGCGUUGUUCGGAUUCACUGGGCGUAAAGGGUGCGUAGGCGGUCGGGUAAGUCUGAUGUGAAAUCUCACAGCUUAACUGUGAAACUGCAUUGGAUACUAUUCGGCUUGAGAGUUGGAGGGGGGACUGGAAUUCUUGGUGUAGCAGUGAAAUGCGUAGAUAUCAAGAGGAACACCAGUGGCGAAGGCGAGUCCCUGGACAACUUCUGACGCUGAGGCACGAAGGCUAGGGGAGCAAACAGG